rnacentral:rRNA from 1 species
AGCGAACGCUGGCGGCAGGCCUAACACAUGCAAGUCGAACGAACUCUUCGGAGUUAGUGGCGGACGGGUGAGUAACACGUGGGAACGUGCCUUUAGGUUCGGAAUAACUCAGGGAAACUUGUGCUAAUACCGAAUGUGCCCUUCGGGGGAAAGAUUUAUCGCCUUUAGAGCGGCCCGCGUCUGAUUAGCUAGUUGGUGAGGUAAAGGCUCACCAAGGCGACGAUCAGUAGCUGGUCUGAGAGGAGGAUCAGCCACAUUGGGACUGAGACACGGCCCAAACUCCUACGGGAGGCAGCAGUGGGGAAUCUUGCGCAAUGGGCGAAAGCCUGACGCAGCCAUGCCGCGUGAAUGAUGAAGGUCUUAGGAUUGUAAAAUUCUUUCACCGGGGACGAUAAUGACGGUACCCGGAGAAGAAGCCCCGGCUAACUUCGUG